CCUGCUGGCCAGGUCUGAGUCCUGUGUAAUUACAAUGACAUCUCAAUAUGUUCUCAUGUCUCAAGUGGUCUUGCUUGUAUCACAUUUGCAUUUGAAAGUUAUAGCUCCGGAACCAUAAAUGCUGAACAGCCUCCAGGUAACUUGAUGCCAUGCAGAGCAAAGAGCUCGCCUUCAAAAUGCUGCCAGGAAGAUUCACUUUUUAUAGCACCUUUUAUAGAAAUUCCCGGGGAAGAGAAUUCUCAGGAGAAGAAUUUGGCCUCUUGGUUUGAAACACAUCUGGUUCUUUGAGUUGUCAAAGAGUUUGGCUGUUAGGAACACAUAAAUGUUGACCCUAAGAAGCUUCUCCAAUCCUUUCUCUUUCUGUGGAUGACGCUCAUUUCUUAACUUCCACCAAAAACAUGGAGAUGAGACUGGGGUCAGAAUUGCUGGAGUUAGGCCAAUCAAUUCUAUGCAUGGUAAUAUUGUGUAGAAGAUGUUAAAUUUUAUUUGUUCUUGCUGUUCAUUAUACCUGAUCUUGACUGACAUCAUCAUCUUCUCAUCCUUCUGGUACAGCUUAGAUAAAGGUAAACAGUUAAUUCCAUCAAUAAGUGUUUACUUAUUGCCACUGAAAUUCAAUCACAGUAUUAGGUACUGGGGCACAAUGGGAAGUAUUGAAUAGGUGUUUGCUAUUGUUACCAUCCAAAAAGAUGAUUCUUUGACAUGUAUUGGUUUCUAUAUUUUUUUGCAAUGGAACUGACUGUGACAGAAUUUCACUUUGUAUGUGCACUGAAGGUCUUCUGGUAACAGAAUGAAAAUUCAUAUAUAUAUACAUAUAUGCACAUCCAAAUCAGGAUUUUAUAAUUCAAUUCAAAGCUGAACAGAAGAGAAACUUGUUCUAUCCGUAUGAAGAAAUAUUACAGAGCCAAAACAAUUUACAACUUAUGAUAUUACUGCAAGAAUAGUUGAAUAGAUAAAUAAAACAGAAUGAGUAAUUCAGUGUCUAAUUUAUAUAACAACUUCAUGUGUGAUAAAGGAGGCAUCAUACAUUAACAAAGAAAGAAUAGAGUGUGUAUUACACUGUAUUGGGAAAUUUGCUAUUUGGAUGAGAAAAUCAACAUAUGCUCUUUUUUCAAAGCCUGUAAAAAAUACAAUCCCUGUAGUUUAAGAUCCAAAUAUUAAACAUAUAUAUAAGUACAUACACAAGAUAACACAUUUGAUCAAAUAUCUGAUCUUUGAUUGGAG
rnacentral:lncRNA from 10 species